rnacentral:rRNA from 1 species
AGUGAACGCUGGCGGUAGGCCUGACACAUGCAAGUCGAACGGCAGCACAGUAAGAGCUUGCUCUUACGGGUGGCGAGUGGCGGACGGGUGAGGAAUACAUCGGAAUCUACUUUUUCGUGGGGGAUAACGUAGGGAAACUUACGCUAAUACCGCAUACGACCUACGGGUGAAAGCAGGGGAUCUUCGGACCUUGCGCGAUUGAAUGAGCCGAUGUCGGAUUAGCUAGUUGGCGGGGUAAAGGCCCACCAAGGCGACGAUCCGUAGCUGGUCUGAGAGGAUGAUCAGCGACACUGGAACUGAGACACGGUCCAGACUCCUACGGGAGGCAGCAGUGGGGAAUAUUGGACAAUGGGCGCAAGCCUGAUCCAGCCAUACCGCGUGGGUGAAGAAGGCCUUCGGGUUGUAAAGCCCUUUUGUUGGGAAAGAAAAGCAGCAGGUUAAUACCCCGCUGUUCUGACGGUACCCAAAGAAUAAGCACCGGCUAACUUCGUG